rnacentral:rRNA from 1 species
UACGAAGGGUGCAAGCGUUAAUCGGAAUUACUGGGCGUAAAGCGUGCGUAGGCGGUUUGUUAAGUCUGCUGUGAAAUCCCCGGGCUCAACCUGGGAAUGGCAGUGGAUACUGGCAAGCUAGAGUGUGUCAGAGGAUGGUGGAAUUCCCGGUGUAGCGGUGAAAUGCGUAGAGAUCCGGAAGAACACCGGUGGCGAAGGCGGUCUGCUGGGCCAAGACUGACGCUGAGGCGCGACAGCGUGGGGAGCAAACAGG